GGGUCACCAACCAGCAGCCCAGGCUGCCCAGAGCCACAUCCAGCCUGGCCUUGAAUGCCUGCAGGGAUGGGGCAUCCACAGCCUCCUUGGGCAACCUGUGCCAGUGCCUCACCAGUCAUCUUUUGUGUGCUCAAACUGGUUUUACAGGUUUAACAGAAGCAAGUGUAGAGUCUUGCAUCUGGGGAGGAAUAAUUGCAUGCACCAGUGCAGGCUGGGGGAUGAGCUGCUGGAGGGGAGCUCUGCCGAGAGGGACCUGGGUGUCCUGGUGGACGACAGGUCGGCCAUGAGCCAGCAGUGUGCCCUUGUGGCCAAGAGGGCCAAUGGCAUCCUGGGGUGCAUUAAGAAGAGCGUGGCCAGCAGGUCGAGGGAAGUGAUCCUCCCCCUCUGCUCUGCUCUGGUAAGGCCUCAUCUGGAGCACUGCGUCCAGUUCUGGGCUCCCCAGUACAAAACAGACAGGGAUCUCUUGGAAAGAGUCCAGCAGAGAGUAACAAAGAUGGUGAAGGGCCUGGAGCAUCUCUGCUAUGGAGAAAGGCUGAGUGAACUGGGUCUGUUCAGCCUUGAGAAGAGAAGACUGAGAGGGGACCUGAUCCAGGUCUAUAAAUAUCUAAGGUGUGGGGGGCAGAAUGGCGAGGCCGGACUCUUGUCAGCAGUGUGUAGAGACAGGACAAGGGGAAACGGAGACAAGCUGCAGCAUAGGAAGUUCCUCUGUACAGUGAGGUGACGGAGCACUGGAACAGGCUGCCCAGGGAGGUGGUGGAGUCUCCUUCUCUGCAGAUGUUCAAGACCUGCCUGGAUGCCGACCUGUGUGACCUGCUGUAGGGAACCUGCUUUGGCAGGGGGUUGGACAUGAUGAUCCCUGGAGAUCCCUUCCAACCCCUACAAUUCUGUGAUUCUGUGACUCUGUGAUUCUGUUUUCUAUGGGAACUCAGGGUCUCUUUUCUCUUGAUAUCUUUAUAAAACCUCUAGAACAUAACUUGUCUUUAAGACAGUAUGGUUUUGGGGAGGUCCUGUGUGGAGCAUAAUGAUCUUUAUGGGUCCUUUCCAAAUCGGGAUAUCCUUGGUAUGGGCAUACGUACCAUAUGGUCAGAUAAGCAACCUAAAAGUUUAAAACUACAUGUGUUAUGACCUAAGCUGACACACACUGGCUUGUUCUUUUGCUGAACAGCUGCUCCAAGCAAAACUGUGCCAAAUGGAGUUAUUAGGGGAAAAAGGAUAGCUGACGUAAUGCCAUUAAAACUAGAGCUGCGAUUUUGGGUUGAACUUAAUGCGAAUAGAUAUUGAAUGAGAUUGAUUUGUGGAUAAAUUACAAAUGGCUGUAUAGGUAAAUAUAUAUGUAAAUGAUUUUUUCAAAAAGGAAUACUGCAUCACAGCCUUAGAAGUCAGGUUGGAGAGUUGGUUGGAGAGCAGAGGGGCGAGACACCCUGUUGGUUGACACUUGUCCUAAAGGUCUGUGGAAAUGGAAGACAAACUGGAACUCAGAGUGGAUACGUGUAGGUGUGAGAAGAUUGAGUAAAAUGGGUGUCAGAGCAGGAAUGAAAAAGAUGGUUUUCAAUUGAGAAUUGUAGAAUCACAGAAUAGUUGGUUGGGAGGAGAACUUAAAAGCCCAACAAGUCCCAACCCCUGCCGUGGGCUGGGUGCCUCCAGCUCAGGCUGCCCAGGGCCCAUCCAUGGCCUUGGGCACCUCCAGGGAUGGGGCACCCACAGCUCUGGGCAGCAGUGCCAGGGCAUCACCGCCCUCUGAGCAAAGGAUUUCUUCCUGACAUCUCAACUAAAUCUCCCCUCUUUCAGUUUAAAACUAAACCCCUUCUCCUUUUGCUAUCAGACUGUGUAAGAAGUUGGUCUCCCUCCUGCUUAUGAGCUCCCUUUCAUGUGGGAAAGGAUGCUACAAUCAAGGUGGAGUUGCUUUGCAAGUUGCAAGAGAUGCAGAAAUCUGAAAUGUUUGAGUUCCUGUAAUGUGUUUGAAGAUAAAAUAACUGGUGAGGAGAGCACCCUUCGAGGCCAUUGUAAUAGCUGACGUCUCCUGCUUGUGAGCAUGAAUCUGUUCUGCUGGGGGAGCUGCUGCAGGGGAGCUGAUGUCAGAAGCCUGAGGGCAACUGGUUGAAGGACAGCAAAGGUUGCUUUUCCAAUCCUUGUAGAGAUUUUGAAGAAACUUAAAAUCAAGUUUGAGGAGUUGUAGGAGAGCAAGUCUCAGUCCAAAGCUUAAGCAGCAGUAAGGCUGAGUUGGGCUUUAUUUGACAUCAGCUGAUUUCAUCACAGAAGGUGCUGUAGAUCAUCGCCCUGAAAGACUUCAACAAAAUGGUCUGAAAGGUUUUUAUGGGUUGUGAGAUGUUCCAGUGCCUGGAUCAAUGCUUUUUGUUUCCUGUCGGGAAGGAGUCUGUUGGGUUUUUUUUGUUUCUUUGCUUGUGUUAUGUCAACUUAAUUGUAAGCCAGCGUGGCAGCCCCAGGGGAAGUGGACUUAUAUACACAAACAGGUACAGCACUGCGUGUGCAUGGAGCAAAUGGAACCAUCCCAGGGCAGAGGAGGUCCCCGAGGAGAUGCCAAGCUGUUCAGCCAUCACUGAUACCAGAACGGUGAUGCCCACGUGGUCCAAAUGCCUCUUCUUUCUGCACGGGCAGAAACAGGAAUGCAGGAGAUAGGCUUCAUGUGCAGAGCUGUGCCAGCUUAUGCUCACACUGGUGUGAGGUUUAGCAAGGUUUGUGCUCUGGUGUGAGUAAAACAGAGGGAAAUCUGUCUCUUGUUAUCAGAGCUGGGGAGGUCAGCCAGCCCACAGCAAGGGUUGGGACCAGAAGAUCUUUGAGAUCCCUUCCAACCCAAACCAUUCUGUUAUUGGAUGGUUUUAAAUUACACAUGUGCACGUCAUGUCUGCAUGAAACCAUCCUGGGACUCGUGGAUUGAGGUGCACUGUGAUUUGGAUGAUGACAUCCUGACAGUGACCAAGUAGGCGUACCUGCAUCAUGAUGUUUUUGCUUUGACCUGCUGUCCCCAGACACAGAUUGCCCUCAUAAAGGCCCAUUAAAAAUCACUUUGCUCUCUGGGAUGCUGAACUUGCUGUGUUUUCAGCUAGCCGUGCUGAACCUUGAAAAAGAGAGUGUGUGAGCUUCCAGCAGGAUAUCUGGAGUUCAGAAAUCUCCGCAGAAGAUUAAGCAAGUUAGAGAGAGAAAUUAGCCCUGAUCCCUUUCUGCCAGCAUAGGAUUAUCCUGCAGCACACCGGUUUUGAAGUUUAUGUCUAAUCCAGUUUUACACAUCCCAGGGGACUGUGCUCCUUACGGCUUCUGCAGAGCAGUUGCGUGGUGGAGCCUCUGCUUUAGAGGUACUUGAGAUUCAAUUUGCAUUUCCAUUACUGCAUCCCAUUUCAUCCUGUGCCGUAUACUUAAUGUCUCUGCUUUGUAGGGUAUGGCUUUUGAAGACAUAUGGAUCGUUACUGUGCUUGUGCUGCUUUAUGUGCUUACUGCACACAUAGCUGGGUGAUCUGAACCCCAUUCUUACACAUAACUUGUGUUUAGGGCUGUUGAGCAUAUUUGUGUACAAGAGGGGCUGGGGCAGUCAGUGUGGAUCGUAGUGCAUCGACACAAGUGGCAUGAAACAAGGUGAGAUGAGCCAAGUGUGCAGCAGUAUUGCUAGUCAAGGCAAAAAGGAGCAAAUGCUGCUGCUUUCCAGCAAGGUGCAAGGCUUAAAUGGUCAGUCUGGGAGUUUUCCAUGCAGCGUGGUAUGAGUUUGUAAAACCAUAAUUGUUCUUUUCUAAUAAAUGUGUAUUUCCAGGCUGAAAAACAACUUGUCUGUGAUCUUUGAAGUGCCUUUCUGCAAGCAUUGUUCCUUGCACACACGGGGCAGUAGCAGAGCAGCAGAGCAUUGAAGCACGUGGUCUAUCUCAAGUAUGCAGGCAGUGCAUUUAAAAGAAGACAGCAUGUUUUACUUGACUGGCCAAAACUUGUUUAGAGCCAUGCUAGAUCAGCACCCAGCUCCAUCCCAAGCACAUUUCAGGAGCUGUUUCUAGGACUAGAAAGUGUUGGGUAAGACAGGAAUGCAAGCCUAACACCCCAAAGUGCAUUUUAUAGCUUGAAAGUUUAAAUUCCAAGUUUCUGCAAGUAUCCAUAGCGCAGUGGUGAGCUGGAGAGAUCCCAGAAUUGGGCCUGAUCCUGCCCUGUGCCUUCAGUCUCGAUUCACACCCUGCAGUAUUAUUUCAUUCUUCUCAGUGCAGAUGGCAAUGAAAGAUAAAACCAAA